UACUACGUAAUAUAAAAAUUAUAUUUUAUUUCCAAUAAAAAAAUUCAAUUAAUAUUGAUGUAAUAA
rnacentral:tRNA from 1 species